rnacentral:rRNA from 1 species
UACGUAGGGGGGCAAGCGUUGUCCGGAAUCAUUGGGCGUAAAGAGCGCGUAGGCGGCCCUGUAAGUCCGCUGUGAAAGUCAAGGGCUCAACCCUUGGAUGCCGGUGGAUACUGCAGGGCUAGAGUCCGGAAGAGGCGAGUGGAAUUCCUGGUGUAGCGGUGAAAUGCGCAGAUAUCUGGAGGAACACCGGUGGCGAAGGCGGCGUUCUGGACUGCAACUGACACUGAAAAACGAAAGCCAGGGGAGCAAACGGG